rnacentral:tRNA from 2 species
AGCCUUGGUAUGGAAAAUCCGUCGACUUUAGAAAUCGUGAGGGUUCAAGUCCCUCUAUCCCC